UACGUAGGGUGCAAGCGUUGUCCGGAAUUAUUGGGCGUAAAGAGCUCGUAGGCGGUUUGUCGCGUCUGCCGUGAAAAGUCCGGGGCUCAACUCCGGAUCUGCGGUGGGUACGGGCAGACUAGAGUGAUGUAGGGGAGACUGGAAUUCCUGGUGUAGCGGUGAAAAUGCGCAGAUAUCAGGAGGAACACCGAUGGCGAAGGCAGGUCUCUGGGCAUUAACUGACGCUGAGGAGCGAAAGCAUGGGGGAGCGAACAGG
rnacentral:rRNA from 1 species